rnacentral:rRNA from 1 species
AUGCCUACGGGACGCAGCAGUGGGGGAUAUUGCACAAUGGGGGGAACCCUGAUGCAGCGACGCCGCGUGGGUGAAGGAGUGCUUCGGCAUGUAAAGCCCUAUCAGCAGGGAAGAAGAAAUGACGGUACCUGAGUAAGAAGCACCGGCUAAAUACGUGCCAGCAGCCGCGGUAAUACGUAUGGUGCAAGCGUUAUCCGGAUUUAUUGGGUUUAAAGGGUGCGCAGGCGGAUUUUUAAGUCAGCGGUCAAAUCGUGGGGCUCAACCCCAUCCAGCCGUUGAAACUGGGGAUCUAGAGUGUGCGAGAG